rnacentral:rRNA from 1 species
UACGUAGGGGGCAAGCGUUGUCCGGAAUCAUUGGGCGUAAAGAGCGUGUAGGCGGUUCGGUAAGUCUGUCGUGAAAUCCUGAGGCUCAACCUCGGGCGUGCGAUGGAUACUGCCGGGCUAGAGGGUGGUAGAGGCGAGUGGAAUUCCCGGUGUAGCGGUGAAAUGCGCAGAUAUCGGGAAGAACACCCGUGGCGAAGGCGGCUCUCUGGGACGGUACUGACGCUGAGACGCGAAAGCGUGGGGAGCGAACAGG